rnacentral:rRNA from 1 species
AGCUCCCAGCGCGCCCGCAGAGUGGCGGUCCUUGGCUUUAAAAGUUCGUGUCCAUGAAUUUUUCCUUCACUAUAUUACGCAUUGCGUGCUUUUUUUUCAUGGGCAAGAACAAAUUCGUUUUUAUGUCUUGAUUUUUCGCUUUGCCACUCAGAGCAACGUCGUAAAAGGUUUGUUUCUUCGGCGAGCCGAUCCGGCCCCAUGGGCUCCUUCCGGCGGAGCUUCCUUUUCGGGACGCCUUCCCGCCGAAGCACAGUUGUAAGUAUGUUCACAUAGGGUUAUAAAAGCGGUAACUCAGUAAUGAUCCCUCUGUUAGGGUGCCUGCGGAGGGAUCAUUACUGAGUUACCGCUCUAUAACCCUUUGUGAACAUACCUACAACUGUUGCUUCGGCGGGUAGGCCGUCCCCUGAAAAGGACGCCUCCCGGCCCGGACCGGACCCCCUGUGGGGCCGGACUCGGCGCCCGCCGGAGGAUAACCAAACGCUAUUUUAACGACGUUUCUUCUGAGUGGCAUAAGCAAAAUAAUCAAAACUUUUAACAACGGAUCUCUUGGUUCUGGCAUCGAUGAAGAACGCAGCGAAAUGCGAUAAGUAAUGUGAAUUGCAGAAUUCAGUGAAUCAUCGAAUCUUUGAACGCACAUUGCGCCCGCCAGCAUUCUGGCGGGCAUGCCUGUUCGAGCGUCAUUUCAACCCUCAAGCUCUGCUUGGUGUUGGGGCUCUACGGUCGACGUAGGCCCUCAAAGGUAGUGGCGGACCCUCCCGGAGCCUCCUUGCGUAGUAACAUUUCGUCUCGCACUGGGAUCCGGAGGGACUCUUGCCGUAAAACCCCCCAAUUUUCAAGGUGACCUCGGAUCAUGUAGCAUCCCCACUUCC